AUGACGUCACACCGAUUAAAAAGUAAUGCGCUACAAAGUAACGCGUUACUGUAAUUACACUACUUUUAGCGGUAACGAGCAUGUAACUAAAUAUUUUUUUUCAUCAAGUAACGCAAUUACAAUUACUGAAAUUUAAAUGAGUUUGUUACUCGCGUUACUCUCUUUUGUGAAAAAUGAACGCUUGCAGACAAGAAGACAGAGAGGCCUACUUUAGC